CAAUAGCGUAUAUUAACGUUGUUGCAGUUAAAAAGCUCGUAGUUGAAUAUUUGGUGGAGGUGACCUGGCCGUUGGCUUAUGCCACUGAGCCGUGUGUCGCACUCAGCCAUCCUGGCUCUUCUUUGGGAGAGCCUCAUUUACUGUUAGCAAAAAAGAGUGUUCCAAGCAGGGCGUUUGUCCGGGAUUUCUUAGAAUGGAAUAAUAAGAUAGGGCCUUAGCGCUAUUUUGUUGGUUUGUACGCCAAGGUAAUGAUUAACAGGAACAGUUGGCGUUGUUCGUAUUUAGAUGUCAGAGGUGAAAUUCUUGGAUUUUCGAAAGACGAACUACUGCGAAAGCAUUCAGCGAGGAUGUUUUCAUUAA
rnacentral:rRNA from 1 species